UGAAAAUCCAUAUUGCCACAAUUAUUGUACCUUGUGUGUGUUUCCUGAUCUUUAUAAUUAGUGCUUUGACCUUUCUGAGACAAGUCUGCAAAAAACAGCCAGAAAAUAUCACCCAGCCUCCGACUGUGACAUCGCAAGUACAUAUUUAUGAAAACCCCCUGGAACUCGAAGCUCGCCGACAACGUUUCCAAAUCCAGGUUCUCCCCUACGCAAAGAGGACUGAGCAUAAGAAUCACACA